rnacentral:rRNA from 1 species
CCGCGUGGAGGAUGACGGCCCGUGGGUUGUAAACUCCUUUUCUUGGAGAAGAAUAACUGACGGUAUCCAAGGAAUAAGCAUCGGCUAACUCCGUGC